GGUCUCUAUUUCAAAGGAAAACUUCUGCCUUUAUCGGCAGACACCUGUCCUUCAAACCAAGACACCCUUCUUACCACUCCAAACUGCAUAUGGGAAAGGUGGACUGCAUCCUGCUUUGCUAGUCCAGUAAACCUGUUGUGAUUUUACUGACUUCUGGGGAAUACCAGUAAAUACUCCUACUAUUUAUUACAACUGCACAUCUAAUUAAACAGCUUACAAAGUGGGGUGUGAACGAACAGGAGACUGCUAAUGGCACCCACUGUACCGGUGUGUCUUGCUUUCUGUCCAGUACUGCGGGAUUUCACAAACAGUUGAGGAAGAAAAACCUCAGUAAGAGAAGUCUGCUCAAACACAUAACCCCUUCAACUCUGAGAAGUAUGGGUUUGGCUAAGAGAACUGCCACUUUAUACUUUUCAUGCUUGGCUCUAUUAGGGUAUAUAAUGAAAUGCAAUGUACCAUUGUGUUGUUUGAUUUAUCCCUUUUUGCUACCAUGUAGUACUGUUAAAUUAUGGUAAAUCUUCUCUAGCUUAUGUGCUCCUCCCAUCCACCACAUUUUUUUUUCUCCCUUUUCCUCUUGUUCUUUCUCUUCACAAUUUUGUUUGUUUAUUUUUAUGUUAUUUAGUUUUUAUUCAGCUGCUUUCUCCAUUAGCCUCAGCAUUAGGCAGCUUGGAAAUCAUCUUGCCAAGAAAUGCACUACACAUCCUGGCAGCUAUAGAAAACAAGCAUCAGAGAGCUUCAAGCAGCAGGCCCAGUUGCGUUACAGGGAACCUAAAAUCCAAGUAUAAUUGCUACACAAUUGCACGAGGUAAGUUUUAAGGACCCCAACAGUGCCAGAACAAGGCCCAAACAGCAACAAUAUGGUAAUUUUAGCAGGCUCGCUGUCAGGGAAUUAGCAGUACAACUUCGGAACUCAAAGUGCAUGAGGCUCUGGGCAUGAAAUGCUACUCAGUCACUAACAUAUUUAUGCAGCACUUCCAGCUGCCUGGGUUCAGCCAGCCAAAUCCAACGGCUGUGGAGAAAGCCCCUAGACCAGUGCUCAUGGGCUCCCCAUUGCACAGUGUGUUGAUUUGGCAUGGACUGGUUUUCGGGCAGCAGGGGAGGGCCACAGAAAGUGUUUUCUUUGAGAAGCUCCUAGAAGCGUCCAACAGAGCCAAUCUCUGAUGGCUCUGAAGAUGGAAAUGCUGCUGGCCCAGAGAGGGUUGGUAAUGCCUCUGUGAUGAUCUAUUUAAGAAGAAAAUCAAAACAGCGCACGCACAGGUUUUUUUUUUCCAGGGGUGGCGAGGCGCCACCACCAGGGCCAUCUCAGCGCAGCGCACGACAGUGUGGCGAAUCCGCCGCCACCUUGGCGCAGCCUACAGCGAACCUUGCCUGCCUGGCCACCCCUAGCCAGCCACGCCGCCGGCAGAAGGGCAGGGGCGGCGGCUUCCCCUUCCCAGUGCCCCGCCUGAAGAAAGGCGUAAAAUAGCACGAGAGCCGCGACGUUCGCCACUGCCCGCAAGGCGGCGGCAGGGCGCACGGCCACCAGCGAAAACACGGUGAGUGACUCCCCGGCACGGAACCUGGAUCGGCGAGAUCAACCUCUCAGCGCUGCGAGACCCUGCAGCGAUCUUCGAAUUAGUGGAACAUGGUGGCAGUAGUACAGGCAACAGUUUUUCUUCUAGUCAGAGAAGGAAGUGAGGGCAGGUGAGGGAGAACAACAUAGCGGCACCAAGGUCAGUGAAAAGAGGGGGAGGAGAUGCUCCAGCACUAGCGCCGAGAUUGCUCUGCAGACCGUGGGGAGGACUAUGGUAAAGCACGCUGUCCCCUUGCAGCCCAUGAAGUCCACGGGGGAUGCGGAGAUCCACUCACAGUCUCUGGGAGAAGUGCUGACGCUGGAACGGGCGGAUGCCAGAGAAAGCUGUCAUCUAGUGGGAGACCCGAAUGGAGAGAGAGGGUCCCUGCUUCCAGAGAUAGAAGGAGGGCCCUUGCUUUCCAACUGGAGCAGCCUAUUCUUAGAGGACUGCACCGCAUGACAAGUGACCCACAUCACAGCAGUUUUGGGAAGACUGUUUGCCCGUGGGAGGGACUCAUGUUGCAGCAUUUUGGCAAGACUGCUGCUCGUGAGAUUAGAGAGACGCUAGAGAAAUUCACAGAAAACUGGCUCACGUGUGAGGGAUCCCACAGCAUAGCAGAGGAGAUACUCCUUUCCCUGACUGAACUGGUGAUCUCAAGUGAGGAACUGACCAAAACUCCCACACCCUGUCUCCCUGCACCGUCUAUGGGAAGGAGGGAGGGGCCGGGGGGAAGAAAGAUGUUUUAAAAGGCUUAUUUUACUUCUCAUUAUCCUUCUUUGUUAAUAAUAAACUUACUUUAUACCUUUAAAUUUGAACCUGUUUUGCCUUUAAGAGUGUUUUCUCCCAGUCCUCAUCUCAACUUCACAGCCUUUCAUUAGUUUUUUUCCCCUCUCCUUUGCCCAGCUGAGAGCAAGAGAGGGUGAGUGACCAGCUUUCUUGGAUGCCUGGCGUUUUGCCAGCAUCAAACCACAGCACAGGGUGGCCUCUGUUUCCAUCCGGCGGAGCAGCGUAGCUGCAGUGCUGGCUGCGGCCUCCACAGCCUUCAGACAGAGUGCUGCAAUGAAACAUGCAGGCAAUACCUGUAACUUACAGCCUCUCCCGUUCAAGGAUCCUGACUGUAGAAGCACUCUACCUGACAUUCACACUAUUUGGAUGAAUCACACUCAGUUACUCAAGAAUCAGGAAUUUCUUGACCUUCCCAACAAACACUUACAUGCUGAAAAUAGCAAUGAGGAGCAGAAAUAGUUUUACUCUGUGGCAGGGAUUUUUCUCUGCUUUAAUUUUUGAAGGAUUUCUAUUCAGAGUUUCAAUCUGAGGUCAAAAUUGCACAUCUGCUUAAUUUCUUUAUGGUUAAAACUGGUAGAAAUGUAACCAAUGCACUUCAUACUCUAGAGAUUAUUUGAGGAAAGCACUAAAGAAAGAGACUUAGGAAAAUACUGGAACUGUCAAGCAUUCCCCCCAUUAGAAUGUUGUGACCUAUUAUGGUACUGAGAGAAAAAAUGAAGUGUUCUUUGUGAUGCUCACUGAGACUACUUGGUUUUGAUGUUGACAGGAAAAGCAAUCUCAGAAGGGAAAUCCACUCCAGACACAGGUUCAUGACUACAGCAGCACUGUACAGCACUACUGAAAGAGCAUACUCAUGAGAACACAGACUUUACAGCCUUGAGAUUAAGAUGAGCUCAAAUGUGUAUUUGACAAAAAUACAGAAAUAUCCAGUGUCAUAUUCUAAUAAUACAGAAGUUACUUUGCUUUGCAUAAAUGUAUUUGAUAAUUUAAGGUUAAAACAACUUUCCAUAUGCAUUAGUACUCAGCAAAGUAAAAAAUAUCAAGUGUCUUUACACUGAAGACAGAUAGAAAAGAUGAAUUGACAUAUUUGACAGCAACUUCUUUCAAGUAGAGGUCUUUUGGACAGUAGUGCCCUUACUUCAACAUUCCAUCUUUCUCUACCUGUGCCUCCUUCCUUAUGUUUUAUGCCUUCUACCCAAAUCCAGACCAGCUGGCCAAGACCUCAGCCUCUGAAAGCCGCACAUAAAGACUACACAAAACAUCUAUUUUAAACAG